AUAUAAGUUAUCGUUUAUUUGAUAUUGCCUAUCCUACAUGGAUAACAGUGGUAAUUCUAGAGCUAAUACAUGCUGAAAAUCCCGACUCACGAAGGGACGUAUUUAUUAGAAUCAGAACCAAUGCCCUUCGGGGUUCCUUGGUGAAUCAUGAUAACUCCACAGAUCGCAUGGCCUUGCGCCGGCGAUGGCUCAUUCAAAUUUCUUCCCUAUCAACUUUCGACGGUACGGUAGUGGCCUACCGUGGUUGUAACGGGUGACGGAGGGUUAGGGCUCGACCCCGGAGAGUACGCGAGAGUAUCGGCGUACACAUCCAAGGAAGGCAGCAGGCGCGCAAAUUAUCCAAUCCCGACACGGGGAGAUAGUGACAAUAAAUACCGAUACAGGGCUCUUUUGGGCCCUGUAAUUGGAAUGAGUACAAUUUAAACCUCUUAACGAGGAACAAUUGGAGGGCAAGUCUGGUGCCAGCAGCCGCGGUAAUUCCAGCUCCAAUAGCGUAUAUUAAAGUUGUUGUGGUUAAAAAGCUCGUAGUCGAACCUCGAGCCUGGCCGGCCGGUCCGCCUCACCGCGUGCACUGGUCUGGCCGGGCUCUUCCCUCUGCGGAACCGCAUGCCCUUCACUGGGCGUGUCGGGGAGGCAGGACUUUUACUUUGAAAAAAUUAGAGUGCUCAAGGCAGGCCAAUGCUCGAAUACAUUAGCAUGGAAUAAUAAAACAGGACGUUGGUUCUAUUUUGUUGGUUUCUAGGACCGCCGUAAUGAUCAAUAGGGACGGUCGGGGGCAUCAGUAUUCGGCCGUCAGAGGUGAAAUUCUUGGACCGGCUGAAGACUAACUACUGCGAAAGCAUUUGCCAAGGACGUUUUCGCUGAUCAGGAACGAAAGUUAGGGGAUCGAAGACGAUCAGAUACCGUCGUAGUCUUAACCAUAAACUAUGCCGACUAGGGAUCGGGCGGCGUUCUUUCUA
rnacentral:rRNA from 1 species